rnacentral:misc_RNA from 1 species
GUAAUUUUAAUGAUGGCAUCUGCUCUGAGCUCAAUUUGUCAUUCUGGUCUCAGUGCGAACAUCAUCUACUCCCUUUUCAAGGCGUUGUGCACAUUGGUUAUCACUCUUCAGAUGGAGUCAACCCGGUCGGAAGACCUCUAGUGCAAUCAGUAGUACAUUUUUAUGGCUUUAAACUCCAAGUACAGGAAAGGGUAACCAGACAAAUAGCUGAGACUGUUUCAUCAUU